ensembl:snRNA U6 U6 spliceosomal RNA
GUGCUUGCUUCAGCAGCAUACAUACCAAAACUAGAACAAUACAGAGAAGAUUAGCAUGGCCCCUGCUCACGGAUGACACGAAACCCAUGAAGCAUUCCAUAUAUAA